GACGAACGCUGGCGGCGUGCCUAAUACAUGCAAGUUGAACGCUAAAGCUUUAACUGGUGCUUGCACCGACCUAAGUUUUUAGAGUAGCGGACGGGUGAGUAACACGUGGGUAACCUGCCCAUCAGAGGGGGAUAACACUUGGAAACAGGUGCUAAUACCGCAUAAUUCCUUUUACCGCAUGGUAAAAGGCUGAAAGGCGCUUCUGGUGUCACUGAUGGAUGGACCCGCGGUGCAUUAGCUAGUCGGUGGGGUAACGGCCUACCGAGGCGAUGAUGCAUAGCCGACCUGAGAGGGUGAUCGGCCACAUUGGGACUGAGACACGGCCCAAACUCCUACGGGAGGCAGCAGUAGGGAAUCUUCGGCAAUAGACGAAAGUCUGACGCAGCCACGCCGCGUGAGUGAAGAAGGCCUUCGGGUUGUAAAGCUCUGUCGCCCGGGACGAACAUCUUUGGGGUUAACAGCCUCAGAGACUGACGGUACCGGGAAAGGAAGCACCGGCUAACUCUGUGCCAGCAGCAGCCGCUGUAAUAC
rnacentral:rRNA from 1 species